rnacentral:lncRNA from 1 species
GUGGUUACAAUUUUUUUUUUACAAUUUGCAUUUAAAUGAAAAAUGUUUAUAUGCUUCAAUUAAUAUGUUUGUAUUAAUUAAAUAAAAUGUUUAUGUGCUUUAAUUAAUAUGUUUGUUCUUUUUUAUAUUUUUCAUUUUUAUCUUCAAUGUUUUUUUUGGUUAUUAAUAAUUUAGCAUUUCGAUAUAUGUCACAUCAAAACUCUCACAUAACUAGUUUUGUUUAAGUGGUGCCUCUAGAACGUGGCAUCCGAUAGGAUGGUUCACACAAAACGAACGAACCAAUUACGUAUGCCUAGCUAAAAU